rnacentral:lncRNA from 1 species
CAGAGACAGAGAGAGAGAGAGAAACAGACAAGGAGAGAGAGAGACAGACAGACAGGCAGAGAAAGACAGUAAGACAGAAGACAGACACAGUGAGAGAGACAGGCAGAGAGAGACAGACAGAGGUAGAGAGAAAGAAAGAGAGACAGACAUGGAGAGAGAGAGACAGAGAGAAACAGACAGAAAGAGAGACAGACAGAGAGUGAGAGAGAGAGAGAGACAGAAAGAGAGGGAGAGGGACAGACAGAGAGAGACAGACGGGUAGAGAAAGAGAGUAAGACAGAAAUAGGCACAGACAGAGAGAGACAGCGAGAGAGACAGACAGAGAGACUCAGAAAAAGAAAUAGAGAGACAGAGAAAAACAGAGAGAGACAGAGAGAAACAGAGACAGAGAGAGACAGAGAGAAACAGACAGAAAGAGAGAGACAGAGAGAGAGAAACAGAGAGGGAGGGAGAGAGAGAGAGACAGGCAGAGAAAGAGAGUUAGACAGAAGACAGACACCGUGAGACAGGCAGAGAGAGAGAGAAAGAAAGAGACAGACAGACAGGCAGACAGAGAAAGAGACAGAUAAAGACAGAGAUGGACAGACAGAGACAGAGAGAAACAGACAGAAAGAGAG